GUGCUCGCUUCAGCAGCAUAUAUACUAAAAUUGGAACGAUACAGAGAAGAUUAGCAUGGCCCCUGCACAAGGAUGACACGCAAAUUCAUGAAGUAUUCCGUAUUUAA
rnacentral:snRNA from 1 species